UUCUCAAUAGAAUUUUAAUUCAUCAGUUAGCAAUUUCGAUGUAUUCGAUGGACGACGCACAGAGUUUUAUUAACAAUCCUAAUACCCUAGACAUUUCUUAAUUUUGUUUUCGUUGUUAUUGUACAUGUAAGUUUUUAACAAUGAUAACAGUAAAUUCAAAUUUUAUUCGAAGUGAUCAAGCUGUCAAAUAAUCACGGUAUAAUAUAUACCUUGAGUAAAAUAUGUAUAUCUUAAAUCGUGUUAAUAAUCAUAAAUCAUAAUAUACUGGCGCGUCGCCUAAACAGCUGUUUGAGCCAUGGCCAAAGUGGUAAAACCGUCUUUGAUAACAAAAUUUGGCAAAUUUGGCCGCUGCUCAGAGGAAACCAAAUGAACGGCGGGAAAUCA